GACGACGUCCUCCGCGAGAUCCUGGUCCGAUUGAACGACGCGGCCGACCUCUUCCGCUGCGCCACCACGUGCAAGCGAUGGUGCGGCCUUGUCGCCGAUCCAUCCUUCCUACGUCUCCGGUGGCCGGAGCACGCCCGCCCAUCCUUCGCUGGAUUGUUCAUCAAGGACCGGGGCCGUUAUCAAGGGGCCAAGGUGCUGGUCCCGAUGCCGUCGUCGGAGCUGGGCCCUCGGCGCCGUGCCCUCAGCUCCUUCGUGCCCGGUGACUCCGCAGACCUAUUACACCAUGCGGUGCCGCUGUGCUCAAGUCGUGGUCUCCUUCUCGUGCGGCUCGCCUCCCAGAGUGCCGCGGGCCGUAGCGGCUACGCCAUCGUGACUGGCACGGACUAUUGUUCCGGCGACGACGAGCAACCACCGGGAAAUUCGUCCUUCUUCAAAGUGAUAAUCAUCACCGUCAACUACACGGACAAUCUGACGUUCCAUGUUAACAUGUUCUCCUCCCAUGAAGCGAGUUGGGGUAUGGGCACAGUGUGCUUCAAGGGUACCAUACAUGCCACCGGGUCAUUUUGUCAUAGCGAUGCAGUUAUGCGCCACGGAACCGCGCACUGGUUAUUUCGUGAUGGGAGAGCACGGAAUUUCUGUCUUCUUAAACUGAAGAACCAGGACGACCAUGUCUCCCUCGCGAUCACGAGGCUCCCUGUCUCGUUGAUGACUGGAGUAGGUUACCCGUGCCUUAGCUUAGCCACUGAUGGCACGCUCUCGGUGCUACAGAUGAAAGAGACAAGUUCCCAGCUAGAGAUAUGGAAACUACAAAAGGACCAACAGAGUGCGGAUACUACCUCAGAAUGGCUCUUCACACAGAGGAUCGAGCUAAUGCAUCCUAGGAAGGACACUCAAGGAGGAGAAAGAUUCUACAUACUCGCAGAGAAGUGUGGCAAAUUGCUUGUCAAGGACACGCGCGAACGUGUGUACACCGGUGACCUUCAGACUGGGGCAAUGGAGGAGGUGGUAGACUGGCCUCGCACACGCCACACCAGCACUCCGAAUGUCAUGCCCUUGGAGUUGGAUUGGGCGGCCUUCUUUGUUUCUCGU
rnacentral:rRNA from 1 species